UACGUAGGGGGCGAGCGUUGUCCGGAAUUAUUGGGCGUAAAGGGUUCGUAGGCGGUUAUUUAAGUCAGAUGUGAAAGGCAUAGGCUCAACCUGUGUAAGCAUUUGAAACUGAGUAACUUGAGUUAAGGAGAGGAAAGUGGAAUUCCUAGUGUAGCGGUGAAAUGCGUAGAUAUUAGGAGGAAUACCAGUGGCGAAGGCGACUUUCUGGACUUAUACUGACGCUGAGGAACGAAAGCGUGGGGAGCAAACAGGAUUAGAUACCCGGGUAGUCCCUGAGCGGGCU
rnacentral:rRNA from 1 species